GUUUCGUCAACAGACGGUUUGUAUGAGAGGUUAUAUCU
rnacentral:sRNA from 1 species